rnacentral:lncRNA from 1 species
ACGGCCAACAAAUAUUGUUUGUAACAAAAAUCUGUUAUUUGUAAGAGAAAGCAAAAUGUUAGUAGUAUCGCAAAAACGAAAUAAUUGACGCGUGAUUACUUGAAUACGAUUUAAGAAUUAUAAAAUACACAUAACCCUGUUAACUUUUUUCCACCCUCGACUUGUUGUUGAAUGGACACGUUUCCAUUCAAUAGCAAUAUCAUCCCAAGACUGCAUAAAUUGAAAUGAAUCGUUUAGGUUUAUCAACAAAUUAAAUCAACUAAUUGCAAAUUGAUAACAAAAUAUAAUGAGCAGGAUAUAUGUACAAAUUGAUCGAUUCAUGUGCAAAUAAAACUAAAACAUAAGUUAUAUAUAAUAAGCAUAUUAUAGCUCAGCCAACAUAGACCAAUUUAUUAUGUUAACAGCGAUGAUCAAGCUUCUCAAAUGUGUUCUUCACACAUACACACACAUAUAUAAAUUUACUCGUAUGUUAUCUGAAUGAGUUUAUGUAAGAUAUGUUAUCUGAUGUUCAUACAUUACUAAAUCAUGUAUUCAGUUGGCCAAAGAAGAAAUUGUUAUUCAGUGGAGGCAUCAUACUCUCAAAACAUUAUCAGAUUUGCUUACACAGAAAAGAGCAAGGAAAUAUAAACCAAUUUUCUGCAAAUUAGAGAAUGAGUAACUUCUACGAAGGCAUCAUCUGUUAAAUAAGUGGACGAAUGUAUCACGUGGAUUCAAAAACAUGAGGGUGUAUGCGUAAUAUACGGUAUUGUAAUUUGAGUAACUGUACUUCAUGUUUUUUAAGCUUCGGCUUGAUCAACUAAAAAUAUUGUAUUACACCCUACAAUAAUUUAUGGGGUUUGCUAUUUCUAUAGGGAAACUUGUUAGUCCUAGUCACUUCCAUUUCACAUGACUAUAGGACCCACAUAUACCCAUCAGGAGUCUUGCUAGCAUAUGCCACAACUACAACGAUGCCACAACUUAUUCAAGCAUCAGUCUCAUUUAUAACAAUAUGCAAAUAUUCAACUAUUCAACAAUUAACACAUAUAUAAAGACAAUAUUUGUUGUGGAGUUGUCAGCUAAUUCAAAACAUUUAUCAGUCAAUUCAAAACAUAUCAAGACUUUUAUCGUAAGAAGAUCAAUAAUGCACGGAGAUAAGAAAUGAUACCUCAAACAUAUAAAAUUAUAACAAAACUUCAGGAUAGACGAUAUUUGUUGUGGACUUGUCAGUUAAUUCACGAAGAAGUAUGUAUAAGCGGGAAGAACUUGUGCAUCUUGACAGAGCUACAUAUAGUUGACCGUGACUAAAUACUGGUGUACGUAAAUCUACCCCAACAAAUUUGACAGACUGGCCCUGUGAUUUAUUCAUUGUCAUUGCUUACGCUAACCUCACUGGGAAUUGUCUUCUUGUCAUUUUAAUACUCAACUCAGACAAAGAAGGAGUCAAAGAAAUUCGUGGAAUGAAUACCAAGUCGCCAUGCUUAUCACCAGUUAAAAUCUUUGCUUCAAGUACUAAAGCACCACACUUGACUAUGAUAAGUCUAGUACCAUUACAAAGGCCAUCUUUCGGUGCAAUGUUCCUUAGAAGCAUUAUUGGACAACCCUCUUUUAAAUCUAAUUUGAACGGUGGUAGUCCAGGGGGAUUGAGCGUGUUCAAAUAUUCAUUCGGGUACCGAUGCAUAAUAGUCCGAUCCACAUCAUCAUCUUCAACCAUUUUGUCAGCAGCAAAGUAUGUAUGUUCUUCUCCCGGAAAAACCGCCAAAGCAGCUAUGUUGAUAUCAUUGACAUCAUCAUUUCUAGCAGAUAGAAUUGUGCGCUCUUUUGAGAAUUCAGGAGUGACCUUACUUGGCACUUCUAGUUCUGGGUAGAUGGUCGAGAUAAGAUUAUCUACACUUUGAGUUAUUUUUAUUGAAUUUGGAAGUUGUAUAGAUUCUUGAGGGUUAGACCCAAUCUACACAAUAAUGAAGUAUUAGUAAAUUAUCAAAUAUUCCGGACGAUAUAUAGAUGUCAAUAUGAAUAAAGAUACAAAUACUCAAACCUCAUUAAGAAAAGCCGAGAAAUNNNNNNNNNNNNNNNNNNNNNNNNNNNNNNNNNNNNNNNNNNNNNNNNNNNNNNNNNNNNNNNNNNNNNNNNNNNNNNNNNNNNNNNNNNNNNNNNNNNNAUUAUAUGGUACAACAUCUCUAUUAUCAACUUCAUGUCCAGACCUUAGAGAAUGUUUUCGACCUUCAUUGCGCCUUUGAUAUAUCGGAUACCCAUCUACGCCCAUUGUAGUUUCUUCUGCCCAACAUUUAGGAUAUCUCUUGAUGCAUUUACCAUCUUCCAUACAUGGUGAUUUAAGAUUUCGAACACCACAUGGUCCAUGUACCAUGCAAGUUUUAACUGUUUCAUAUAGAAGUAGAUCAGAAAUUGGAUCGGGGAAUUCGGCACAAACAGCUCGAUUUACCUGUUCACGUGUUCGUAUUUUAUCAGACCCUUGAAGAAAUAUUAGCAAAUGCAUGUGCGGCAACCCACGCUUUUGGAAUUCAAUCGUGAAAACAUGUGCCACCUUUGCACCAAAUACUUUUUUCUUAUCAAUUUCCAUCAUCAAAGCUCGUCGCUUCAAUUCAAAUACGCGGGCCACCAAGUCUGGGCGGUCAAUUGACGUUUGAUGUGGUAACAGUGCAUCUUUUAUCUCGGGCCAAUUCGGAUUUGCAGUCAUAGUUAAGAAAAUAUCAGGGUGUUGGUUAUACCGAGUUAUGGCCAUAGAAUCUUGGAAGAUUUCAAAUAUUUGCCUUGGACUCCCAGAAAAAGAAGAAGGCAAAACUACUCGUUUACCAACUUGAUUAGCCUCUAACCCAUCAGGAACUACCUCGACCAAAUCCUGGUAUAGAUCAGAUCGCAAUUUUUGUUGGUUGAGCCUAUAAUAUGUUAAUCGAUUCUGCUCUGUUGCCGCCCAUGCAUCUACAACAAACUCUUGAAAUAAUCUUCCACCCCUCAAGAUAGUUGAAUACUCAGUAGGUCUUUCAAACAAACGAUAACCAUAAUAUUGCAAUUGCGUAAGUCUUUUUGAUGAAGCUUUACCUUGAUUGACAUCCCACUGCUUAAAAUCUGGUUCCCAUCCAAGCUCACCAUACGGAAACAACAAUACGUAAUGUAGUGGUAAAUAAGCUGGAUGGCAUUCAUUUAUCUGCAUCAACUGGUCAUUCCCUUUUAACCGUACAAUAAUAUCCCUCAUCGCAGAGAAUUCAGCACCAUCUCCAGGUAAUAUGAUAGCCACCUCCUCUGACGUGGGUAAAUUAUGAGUUUGACGGUCUUUUGCUGCACUAUAAUGAAGGUAUGCUGGGAUGUCGCGAUUGUUCAAAUGUUCCAUGCUUAAAAUUGCAGCUGCAUGUCUAAACUUACCCGAAAAUGAGUUGUAUCUCAAAAGUCUAUCCUGGAUUGUUCUUAGGACAUCCUCUCGCAGCUUCGGGUUUCUCCGAGAACGAUAUUCUAAAGCAACUGUGGCAUCGUGAAUGUACAACUGUGCAUAUACUGGAUCUUGACCGGCUGGAGGUUGUAGUAACCCUGUCCGAUGUCGCAAUUCCCCAUGGAUUGUAAAUGCGUUGGGACCCCUACCAGGAACCACUCUAUCAUCCAUAUGUACACCUAAGCUCGUAAAAGCAUUAGAAGCAUUGUACAGUCGGGUAUAACUUCGAAAGGACUUUGACUGAUCAUCAUUGCCAUCAUAUAAUGAUUGAAUUUCUGGAGGAGGCGUUAAUAGUUGUGGAAGUUGAAUCUUUCCUUGCAAACAACAUGUACCGAAGAAAGGGCGGUCAACAGAUGAAUUUGAUAACUUUUCGGCUUUUCAAUGCAAUGCUGAGUAGUGAAGACACUGUAUAUUCAUUUUAUCGAGGUAGUGUCUUCCUAAAAUAGGAUACGACAGAGGGGCUAUAUUUGUAGGCAAUGCCUCUUGUACGCAAGCUUCAUCAAUGACUGACUGAAUAAUUGGUAAUAACCUAGAAAAUAAAUGAACGUGUUUCAAAUAGUUUACAUAUAUUGUAACACUCCUUUUGGUAUAUAGUUAUAAAUAAUGUGCAUUGAACUAACCCCAAAGUUGGUGAUGUAGGCAUGGAAGAUGAUAUAAUGUUACGGGAGUCAUGUACAUGCUCUAUAUUAUUUGGUGGAAGGAGGAUUUCUGCACCCAUUGAAUUUGAGUUGGUUGAAUGUAACCCUUGAGGUGGUAAAAUUGGAACUGGAGGAAUUCGAUUAGAAUCUGUUGGCGCAAGUUUUAACAACGACGGAUGCUGAUAAAAAUGAUUCUUGAUCGAGAUACAAUCCUGUUCAUAAGCUGCGCGUUGGGAUGGCCUGGGGAUCAAACCAGGGAAAAAUCUUGGUUGAAAUGGAUAUGGUUGAGAUUGUAUUAUUUUUGUUUGCUUCUCUCUUUCACGACGCAAGCGCUGAGCAAUAUGUAUUGGACGCAUAUCACCAUUAUCCCUUUCUCGUUUUUUACGUCGAGGAAUUGGAGCUUCGUCAAGGAUAUUUUUAUUGGAUCCCUACAAAUAACAAUAGAUAUCUAAGUGUAAAGAGAAGAAAUCGUAGUGUUUUUUGAGCAAAAAAUAAUAUUUUCUAUUUAUUCGAAUUAGGGUGCAUAUAUUCAGUUUGCGCGAUUUUGUAUUUCAUACGAAAACGCUAUGCAAUAUGUUUAUUGCCUUUUCGUAAAGGAUAUUAUUAUUGAAACCCUAAAAAGAUGUAUAAUUAUAAACCUAAAAAGGCAUAGUGUCGUUAAUAAAUUAUCAUCUUUGCUUCAAGUACUAAAGCACCACACUUGACUAUGAUAUAAGUCUAGUACCGGUGUCGUUAAUAAAUUAGGUUCAAAUAUUUUGUUUAAAUGACUUUAUGUAACAAAUAUUUGUAACUACUAACAUAAAAGUCUGGAAUAUUGUAUACUUACCACAUGCAAAUUGGGGGGUUGAUUUUCUUUUUCUUUUCCUUUUUCUUUUUGUAACUCCUUCCCUUUUUCCUUUGCUCGAUGUUUUCUUUGAUUUUCCUGACAGCGUACAAAUAUAAGAUGUUUUGUCUUGGAAAAUAAAGUAUGAGCUUAAGAAAAGAAAAAAGUAAUCUUAUCUUGCCUUACGCAUCAUCUUCAAUUCAGAUUCUUCUCGAAUGAUAAUACCAAUAUUCUUUUUUCGAUAAUGCUCUCUCUAUUAAAGAAAGGAAAAAAAGAAGGUUAAAUAUAGAAAGUAUAAAAAAAAACUAUUAAAUUGCAAGUUUGCUAUAAAAGAAGAAAAUAAUUUUACCGUGCAUUGCAAAUUAUAAUCCUCCUGUCCCAAAUUGAAAGACACGUUAGAAAUUUCAAAAAGGGAUAUUAAUUGUUCAAUUUUCAUUAAGUCUGAAAAAGGAGCUUACAUAUCCAAACACAGUAUAAGAAGGUGGUCCCGUGGGCAG